rnacentral:rRNA from 1 species
GUCAGAGGUGAAAUUCUUGGAUUUAUGAAAGAUUAACUUCUGCGAAAGCAUCUGCCAAGGAUGUUUAAUUAAUCAAGAACGAACGUUCAGGGAUUAAAUAUCAUUCCCCCCCGCUUUCUCUUUUACCUUAACCCAUGCCCCCCCCCUUCUAAACACUUUAAAACAGGGGGCAGGGUCCCUUCUCUCUUUCCAGGUUAUGGUUUCGCGGUCGGGCGGGGAAAAUGUGAUUUUUUCCUGCCUUUAAAACCCCUAUUUUCUCCGUAAAACUUUUGAAAAAAUUCAU